AUUGAACGCUGGCGGCAGGCCUAACACAUGCAAGUCGAACGAGUGGCGGACGGGUGAGUAACGUCUGGGAAACUGCCCAGUGGUGGGGGAUAACUACUGGAAACGGUAGCUAAUACCGCAUACUAUCGGAUGUGCCAAGAUGGGAAUAGCUAGCGGGUGGGGUCACGGCUCACCAAGGCGACGCUCCCUAGCGGGUCUGAGAGGAUGACCAGCCACACUGGAACUGAGACACGGUCCAGACUCCUACGGGAGGCAGCAGUGGGGAAUAUUGCACAAUGGGCGCAAGCCUGAUGCAGCCAUGCCGCGUGUAUGAAGAAGGCCUUCGGGUUGUAAAGUACUUUCAGCGAGGAGGCGUUACUCGCAGAAUAAGCACCGGCUAACUCCGUGCCAGCCGCCGCGGUAAUUC
rnacentral:rRNA from 1 species